rnacentral:tRNA from 1 species
ACAAAAAGCCGGAAUAG